CACAGAUGAUGUUUUCUCACGAUGGUCUUCAGACAUUAUCUGGUGAAAUUGCUGUUAGGCGCUAUACUGAUGUGACUUA